AGCAUCAGACAAAAGUGAGUAAAUACGAAGCGCACAACAACCGGAUUGUUAGUUCGUUUCGUUGACGUUCCGUGUCGGCUUUUCUAUGUGUCUUCCAGUAAUAUUUCCCGCUCGUUCGAGUGUGUAAUUAAAAAUAUUUCUUAUAAAAUAGCGACUAAAUUAUCAUCAGAGGUAAGUUGUAAUACAUAUUUUCUUUUUAGUAAAAGCCUAUGUAUCUGGCUAAUUGGAAAAUCCAGACAGUAUUGAUAGUUUUAAAUAAUACUAGUCUGAAAUCGAUAUUAAUUCUAUUGUCCAGUAAAGCACCUGGUUUUUAAUUUCAAUUAUUUUGGUAGAUAAUCCAUUUGCUGGUUGUGUCCAUUCAAAGCUGUUUGUUGUUUUAUCACAGAUGUAUCAUUUGCUAAACAUCUGUAUUUGCUGUUUAUUCUGUCAAAAUGAUACACGUUAAUAAUUCUGUCCAUUUCAGCUUCUCAGAAUAAAUAAUCUGCAACAUCAUAAAACAUCAAUAGCUAACUGAAACAUGUGGCCAGUGAUAGUACUAUGAUAAAAAGCAGAUACAGCCUUUUGUAGACAGAAUCAGCAAAUGUCAUCAACUGGCGAUGGGUACUACUCUAGAAGAGCGGUCCCGGUGUGCGCACUCGCGCUUGUUAGUCGUGACUAGUAGAUCCUUACUUUGUGUUUUUGUUUUAUUUAAUUAGUUAAAAAAGUCGCCUGUCGUAGCACACGUUUUCGUCGAUUUCCGUAAAAAACUUUUAUUUUUUUACAUAAGUAAUGAGAGCGAAAGAGACUAAGAUGAAGCGAUUUUAUGACGAGGAAAUUUCUCUUUGAAGUCCCCGUGUGUGUGUUUGAUGGAGUGUGGGGGACAGACAGUAUGUUGUGUAAGUGAAGUGCUUCUGUUAGUGUGUGCGAAGAGACAGAGAGAGUAAUGUGUGAAAGAGAGAGAUAACUGAAAUUUUUUACUCGGUGUAUGUGUAUAUGUAUGUCUGCAUGUAUGUGUGUGUGUAUGUAUCUAUGUAUGUGUGUGUGUGUAUGUAUGUGUGUAUGCAUGUAUGUAUGGCCGAUUCAGUGUUUACAUUUUUUACGGAAAUCGACAAUCGAUGGAAACUUGUGCUACGACAAGCAAAACAUCGCCUCGAGGCGAUCUUUCGUUUGUAGUAGCAUGUUUCCGUCGAUGAUUUCCGUAAAAAACUUUUAUUUUUUUACAUAUGGGCUUGCGGGAACAUUUAAAGUAAUGAGAGCGAAAGAGACUGAGGAAGCGAUUUUAUGACGAGGGAAUUUCUUUUGAAGUUACCGAAGCAUUGUUGUACAUGUGUGUGUGUUUGAUGGGGUGUGGGAGACAGACAGUAUGUUGUGUAAGUGAAGUGCUUCUGUUAGUGUGUGUGAAGAGACAGAGAGAGUAAUGUGUGAAAGAGAGAGAUAACUGAAAUUUUUUACUCGGUGUAUAUGUAUGUGUGUGUGUGUAUGUAUCUAUGUAUGCGUGUGUGUGUGUGUAUGUGUGUGUGUAUGUAUGUAUGUAUGGCCGUUUCAGUGUAAUUUUUUACUCGGUGUAUGUGUAUAUGUAUGUCUGCAUGUAUGUGUGUGUGUGUAUCUAUGUAUGUGUAUGUGUAUGUAUGUAUAUAUGGCCGAUUCAGUGUAAUUUUUUACUCGGUGUAUGUGUAUAUGUAUGUCUGCAUGUAUGUGUGUGUGUGUGUAUCUAUGUAUGUGUGUGUGUAUAUAUGUAUGUAUGGCCGAUUCAGUGUAAUUUUUUACUCGGUGUAUGUGUAUAUGUGCUUCGGUAACUUCAAAAGAAAUUCCCAUGUCAUAAAAUCACUUCCUCAGUCUCUUUCGCUCUCAUUACCUUAAAUGUUCCCGCAAGCCCAUAUGUAAAAAAAUAAAAGUUUUUUACGGAAAUCAUCGACGGGAACGUGCUACUACAAACGAAAGAUCGCCGGAUCGACUACUUACGACUACCUAGCGCGUACUGGGUCCAGUCUUCGCUAGUAGUACCUGUGUUUUAUUUACUUUGUUUUAAAAAGAAAGGCGAUCUUACGGUAUAAGUACCGGUGUACUUCCGGAAGUACUGGAUACAUUUCAAAAAGGUGUUUCUUUAUAUGUAGGUGGGGAGAGGAAAGGGUAUCUGUUAUCUUCAGAAAUGUAAACAAAGUCACGUGUGUACCUAUACCGAAGGAUCGCCAUUCUGUCCUGUCUCUACUCUUCAUACGUCAAUUCACAGAACACUUUCUCUAAAUUAGUGACCACACCUUCAACAUAUGUGAGUGCAGUUUGUUUUAUUAUUAAUAAAGUUACGAGAGGAAAAGUCAUGAUGGGUUGGUUCACUAAAUUGUAGUUUAUGUUUAUGUUUGAUCUGUUACAGAAGUUGUAACAAUCAUGAACAUUACAUACCCUGAUGUAAUCUCCAGGGAUACAGGCAUCCAGCAACAGGACCUCCGUAAUGCCAUGAUGGACCGUGAAGUCUGGCGUAGCAUGGUAAAUUCCAUUGUCUCGACCACGGUUGAACAAUGAUGAUGAUAAGAGUUUCUGUUAGGGUUAGGGGUGGGAGAAAAGGGUUCCUAACACUAGUUGAAUAAUAACUAAGUUAUUUUACUAAAUUCUUUAUUAUAUUUAAAAUAAUUGAAAGAAACACACUGAAUCUCAAAAGAAAUAUGGUAACAAAAGGGUUACCAUAUUAUAAAUUACCAUAAAUAAAUUUCAAAGACAAAUUAAAGGAUUAUAUCCACAGUUUAUCAUUAUGAAGAUGUAGUUAUAUUUUUUUUAUAGUUGAAUCUCUGCUUUUUAAGUCUUUCCUAUAUCUUCUUCUGUUUCUGUGUCAUUUCAGGAGGUGAAAUGUUAGUGAUACUUCAUGAAUAUUGAUCAUCUAAUGGAAGAUGUUAUAAAUAUUUGACAUAACUCUGUUUAUACAAUUUGUCUAUGGUGGAAAACUGUGAAAUAUAUCUUCUGAAUUGAUGGCAACAUUUGUUUCCAUCAUUGCCUGGAAUAUUUGCUCAAGUCUUUCACAUUCUAUUUGGAGCG
rnacentral:lncRNA from 1 species